rnacentral:lncRNA from 1 species
CUCUGGCAUCCCAGGACGCAGCAGGGCCUAGGCAGCAGUGUGUUACCUGAGGCCUAACAAAAAUCUUCCUGUCCCAUGUUCCUGACGAGUUAAGUCUUCGUGUUGAAUAACAACUGGACUAAAUCACAUGCAUCCAGACUGCCUGGGUUCAAACGCUGGCUUGAGCCUCCUGGCUCUAGCAUGUACUAGCUGCUUCGCUGUGGGGCAAAUGACACCAUCUGGACAACGGAAACAGCACAUGCUUGGGGCACUGUCCACCUCCCACUACCCUGAUCGCUUAAGCACAGUCUCCUCCCCCUUUUCCAUGAGCUUCUUUGAGUUUCCCUUCUUCUGGUUGGCUUGGCUUUCAUCUUCCUCCCUCUGCUUUCUUUGUCCUGCUGAGCAGGCAGCAAACCUGCAGGGUCUGUGAUCCUGCCGCUCAGCUUUAAAACAAAAACAAAAAAACCUCUGUUGCAAUUUGUGAACUUCCCCUCCUGGAAGGCAUAAGCUAUCAGCUUUUGUGAAAGUAGCUUGAAAUUGAGGAGGAAAAGAUUGAAGAGGGUAAGAAAGAGAGAGACAGAGGGAAGAAGAGAGGAAUGGAGAGAGGGAGGGAAGGAGAGAGAAAGGGAGGGAAG